rnacentral:rRNA from 1 species
GCGAACGCUUGCGGCGGGCCUAACACAUGCAAGUCGAGCGCGUAGCUUCGGCUACGAGCGGCGAACGGGUCAGUAACACGUAGGUUACCUACCCCUCGGUGGGGGAUAACCAGGGGAAACUCUGGCUAAUACCGCACGAGGUCCACGGAUCAAAGCAGCAAUGCGCCGGGGGAUGGGCUUGCGGCCGAUUAUUUAAUCCUAGAUGGCGGGGUAACGGCCCACCAUGGGUACGAUCGGUAGCUGGUCUGAGAGGAUGAUCAGCGACACUGGAACUGAGACACGGUCCAGACUCCUACGGGAGGCAGCAGUGGGGAAUAUUGCGCAAUGGGCGAAAGCCUGACGCAGCCACGCCGCGUGGGUGAUGAAGGCCUUCGGGUCGUAAAGCCCUGUCGGAGGGGACGAAGUAUGACGGUACCCUCCAAGAAAGCGCCGGCUAACCCUGU